rnacentral:rRNA from 1 species
UGCCAGCCGCCGCGGUAAGACGGAGGGGGCUAGCGUUGUUCGGAAUUACUGGGCGUAAAGGGCAUGUAGGCGGAUCGGUCAGUCAGGCGUGAAAGCCCCGGGCUUAACCUGGGAAUUGCGCUUGAUACUGCCAAUCUAGAGUCCGGGAGAGGAUGGUGGAAUUCCCAGUGUAGAGGUGAAAUUCGUAGAUAUUGGGAAGAACACCAGUGGCGAAGGCGGCUAUCUGGACCGGUACUGACGCUGAGGUGCGAAAGCGUGGGGAGCAAACAGGAUUAGAUA